rnacentral:rRNA from 1 species
GACGAACCGUGCAAACGUUAUUCGGAAUCACUGGGCAUAAAGGGCGCGUAGGCGGCUCCAAAAGUCAGGGGUGAAAUCCGGCAGCUUAACUGGGGAAGUGCACCCGAAACUGAGUAGCUAGAGUGCGAAAGAGGGUCGCGGAAUUCCCGGCGUAGAGGUGAAAUUCGUAGAUAUCGGGAGGAACACCAGUGGCGAAGGCGGCUCACUGGAUCGGUACUGACGCUGAGGUGCGAAAGCGUGGGGAGCAAACAGG